rnacentral:rRNA from 2 species
GUGCGAGACCGAUAGCGAACAAGUACCGUGAGGGAAAGAUGAAAAGAACUUUGAAAAGAGAGUUAAAGAGUACCUGAAACUGCUGAAAGGGAAGCGAAUCGUAUCCAGUGUCUAUAAUCUGCGGCAUAUUUCAUUGGCGGCGGUGCGCGUGCUUUUGCGUCGGAAGCGGCUUUUGUUGCUCUGUGCUUUUGCUGUGCGUGCUGUUGCUGGUGCCCUGUGUUGCGGUGGGACGUCAGAGUCAGUUUGUAUGCUGCGGGAAAUGGCUGCCGAGGAGGUAGGUCAAGAUUUCGGUCUUGGCUGUUAUAUCUUGGUGGUUUGUUGUCGUGGUUGAGACUGAGGUGCCUACAAUGUGCUUUUGAGUGUGCCGGGUUCUCAUUUGGUGGACUGUUUGGAUAGCUUGCUAUGCUUGUGGUUUUUUCAUCGGGUGAUUGAGUCUGGUGGUAACUUGUUGCUGUUCGGGACUUUGA